GGGUUGUGAGGUUAAGCGACUAAGCGUACACGGUGGAUGCCCUGGCAGUCAGAGGCGAUGAAGGACGUGCUAAUCUGCGAUAAGCGUCGGUAAGGUGAUAUGAACCGUUAUAACCGGCGAUUUCCGAAUGGGGAAACCCAGUGUGWUUCGWCACACUAUCAUUAACUGAAUCCAUAGGUUAAUGAGGCGAACCGGGGGAACUGAAACAUCUAAGUACCCCGAGGAAAAGAAAUCAACCGAGAUUCCCCCAGUAGCGGCGAGCGAACGGGGAGCAGCCCAGAGCCUGAAUCAGUGUGUGUGUUAGUGGAAGCGUCUGGAAAGGCGCGCGAUACAGGGUGACAGCCCCGUACACAAAAAUGCACAURCUGUGAGCUCGAUGAGUAGGGCGGGACACGUGGUAUCCUGUCUGAAUAUGGGGGGACCAUCCUCCAAGGCUAAAUACUCCUGACUGACCGAUAGUGAACCAGUACCGUGAGGGAAAGGCGAAAAGAACCCCGGCGAGGGGAGUGAAAAAGAACCUGAAACCGUGUACGUACAAGCAGUGGGAGCACGCUUAGGCGUGUGACUGCGUACCUUUUGUAUAAUGGGUCAGCGACUUAUAUUCUGUAGCAAGGUUAACCGAAUAGGGGAGCCGAAGGGAAACCGAGUCUUAACUGGGCGUUAAGUUGCAGGGUAUAGACCCGAAACCCGGUGAUCUAGCCAUGGGCAGGUUGAAGGUUGGGUAACACUAACUGGAGGACCGAACCGACUAAUGUUGAAAAAUUAGCGGAUGACUUGUGGCUGGGGGUGAAAGGCCAAUCAAACCGGGAGAUAGCUGGUUCUCCCCGAAAGCUAUUUAGGUAGCGCCUCGUGAAUUCAUCUCCGGGGGUAGAGCACUGUUUCGGCAAGGGGGUCAUCCCGACUUACCAACCCGAUGCAAACUGCGAAUACCGGAGAAUGUUAUCACGGGAGACACACGGCGGGUGCUAACGUCCGUCGUGAAGAGGGAAACAACCCAGACCGCCAGCUAAGGUCCCAAAGUCAUGGUUAAGUGGGAAACGAUGUGGGAAGGCCCAGACAGCCAGGAUGUUGGCUUAGAAGCAGCCAUCAUUUAAAGAAAGCGUAAUAGCUCACUGGUCGAGUCGGCCUGCGCGGAAGAUGUAACGGGGCUAAACCAUGCACCGAAGCUGCGGCAGCGACGCUUAUGCGUUGUUGGGUAGGGGAGCGUUCUGUAAGCCUGUGAAGGUGUGCUGUGAGGCAUGCUGGAGGUAUCAGAAGUGCGAAUGCUGACAUAAGUAACGAUAAAGCGGGUGAAAAGCCCGCUCGCCGGAAGACCAAGGGUUCCUGUCCAACGUUAAUCGGGGCAGGGUGAGUCGACCCCUAAGGCGAGGCCGAAAGGCGUAGUCGAUGGGAAACAGGUUAAUAUUCCUGUACUUGGUGUUACUGCGAAGGGGGGACGGAGAAGGCUAUGUUGGCCGGGCGACGGUUGUCCCGGUUUAAGCGUGUAGGCUGGUUUUCCAGGCAAAUCCGGAAAAUCAAGGCUGAGGCGUGAUGACGAGGCACUACGGUGCUGAAGCAACAAAUGCCCUGCUUCCAGGAAAAGCCUCUAAGCAUCAGGUAACAUCAAAUCGUACCCCAAACCGACACAGGUGGUCAGGUAGAGAAUACCAAGGCGCUUGAGAGAACUCGGGUGAAGGAACUAGGCAAAAUGGUGCCGUAACUUCGGGAGAAGGCACGCUGAUAUGUAGGUGAAGUCCCUCGCGGAUGGAGCUGAAAUCAGUCGAAGAUACCAGCUGGCUGCAACUGUUUAUUAAAAACACAGCACUGUGCAAACACGAAAGUGGACGUAUACGGUGUGACGCCUGCCCGGUGCCGGAAGGUUAAUUGAUGGGGUCAGCGCAAGCGAAGCUCUUGAUCGAAGCCCCGGUAAACGGCGGCCGUAACUAUAACGGUCCUAAGGUAGCGAAAUUCCUUGUCGGGUAAGUUCCGACCUGCACGAAUGGCGUAAUGAUGGCCAGGCUGUCUCCACCCGAGACUCAGUGAAAUUGAACUCGCUGUGAAGAUGCAGUGUACCCGCGGCAAGACGGAAAGACCCCGUGAACCUUUACUAUAGCUUGACACUGAACAUUGAGCCUUGAUGUGUAGGAUAGGUGGGAGGCUUAGAAGUGUGGACGCCAGUCUGCAUGGAGCCGACCUUGAAAUACCACCCUUUAAUGUUUGAUGUUCUAACGUUGACCCGUAAUCCGGGUUGCGGACAGUGUCUGGUGGGUAGUUUGACUGGGGCGGUCUCCUCCUAAAGAGUAACGGAGGAGCACGAAGGUUGGCUAAUCCUGGUCGGACAUCAGGAGGUUAGUGCAAUGGCAUAAGCCAGCUUGACUGCGAGCGUGACGGCGCGAGCAGGUGCGAAAGCAGGUCAUAGUGAUCCGGUGGUUCUGAAUGGAAGGGCCAUCGCUCAACGGAUAAAAGGUACUCCGGGGAUAACAGGCUGAUACCGCCCAAGAGUUCAUAUCGACGGCGGUGUUUGGCACCUCGAUGUCGGCUCAUCACAUCCUGGGGCUGAAGUAGGUCCCAAGGGUAUGGCUGUUCGCCAUUUAAAGUGGUACGCGAGCUGGGUUUAGAACGUCGUGAGACAGUUCGGUCCCUAUCUGCCGUGGGCGCUGGAGAACUGAGGGGGGCUGCUCCUAGUACGAGAGGACCGGAGUGGACGCAUCACUGGUGUUCGGGUUGUCAUGCCAAUGGCACUGCCCGGUAGCUAAAUGCGGAAGAGAUAAGUGCUGAAAGCAUCUAAGCACGAAACUUGCCCCGAGAUGAGUUCUCCCUGACYCYUURAGRGUCCUGAAGGAACGUUGAAGACGACGACGUUGAUAGGCCGGGUGUGUAAGCGCAGCGAUGCGUUGAGCUAACCGGUACUAAUGAACCGUGAGGCUUAACCUUACAACGCCGAAGSUGUU
rnacentral:rRNA from 1 species